GGGGCGGGAGGGCGCUGCCUGCUCUCCGUCUCCGCCCUCGGGGAGGGGGAGCGCGGUGCCGGGGCGAGCAGCGGGUGAUGGGGAAGAGGCGAGCGCAGUGCUGAGGUCCUCUUGGGCCGGAUGAGCCGAGGCUUGGCGCCGCGGCGGUGGCGGGGCUGGAGGAGGGGGCGAAGGAGGCUGUAGGGGCGGCCCCCGCUCCGGCUGCCCUGAGGGGAAGGAGCCCCCGACCAUGGAAAUCGAGAACAUCGUGGCCAACACGGUGCUGCUGAAAGCCCGGGAGGGCAAACGGAGUGGGCGUAGUAAAAAAUGGAAAGAGAUGCUGAAGUUGCCCCCUGUCAGUCACUGUGAGGGUAUUCGGUGCUCCAUCGAAAGAGACUAUAACCAGCUUUGUGACAAGCAGCCAAUAGGAAGACUUCUCUUCAGACAGUUCUGUGAUUCUAGACCAGAUUUGAAAAGAUGCAUUGAAUUUCUGGAUGCAGUGGCAGAAUAUGAGGUAUCUUCAGAUGAAAAGCGCAUAGACUGUGGCCUCAAAGUUUUAGAGACAUACUUCACUAACGGGUCUGCAGCACACUUGCCAGAAAUACCUCAGGAAACAGUAAAUGAAUGUAAAGCAAGACUGGAAAAGAACCCUUCUAAGGAUCUUUUCAUGGACUGUACUAGAAUUGUCCAUGAAUACCUAAGCAAAAGACCUUUUGAAGCUUACCAGGAGAGUGUGUAUUUUUCCCGUUUCUUACAGUGGAAAUGGCUGGAAAAGCAGCCAGUAACCAAACACACGUUUAGGCAUUACCGAGUACUAGGCAAAGGUGGAUUUGGAGAGGUGUGUGCCUGUCAAGUACGGGCAACAGGAAAAAUGUAUGCUUGCAAAAAGCUAGAAAAAAAGAGAAUAAAGAAGAGGAAAGGAGAAUCAAUGGCUCUAAAUGAAAAAAGAAUUCUAGAAAAAGUGAAUAGUAGGUUUGUAGUUAGUUUAUCCUAUACAUAUGAGACAAAAGAUGCCCUAUGUUUAGUGUUAACCAUAAUGAAUGGAGGGGAUCUGAAGUUUCACAUAUAUAACAUGGGAAAUCCUGGCUUUGAUGAAGAAAGGGCUAUUUUCUAUGCUGCAGAACUGUGCUGUGGGCUGGAGGAUUUGCAAAGGGAGAGAAUUGUUUACAGAGACUUGAAGCCUGAGAAUAUACUUCUUGAUGACUGUGGACAUAUCAGGAUUUCAGAUCUUGGAUUAGCUGUGCAGAUUCCAGAAGGUGAAACUGUCCGAGGACGAGUUGGGACUGUUGGUUACAUGGCUCCAGAAGUGCUCAAAAACGAGAAGUAUACAUUCAGUCCGGAUUGGUGGGGCCUUGGCUGUUUGAUUUAUGAGAUGAUUGAAGGGCAGUCUCCGUUCAGGAAGCACAAGGAAAGAGUUAAACGCGAUGAGAUUGACCGCAGAGUAAAGGAAGACCAGGAAACAUACUCAGACAAGUUUUCAGAGGAGGCAAAAUCCAUCUGCAGGAUGUUACUUGCUAAAAAUCCAGGGGAACGACUGGGCUGCACUGAAGGAGGAGCUGCUGUUGUAAAGCAACAUCCUAUUUUCAAGAACAUCAACUUCAAGAGGCUGGAAGCUAACAUGUUAGAACCUCCAUUCUUGCCAGAUGUAAGUAGCCACGUGCAGUUUAUUGUAAAGAUGUCCUGGACAUUGAGCAGUUCUCAACAGUGAAAGGAGUGAACCUGGAUACCACAGAUGAUGACUUCUAUUCCAAAUUUGUGACAGGUUGUGUCUCAAUCCCUUGGCAAAAUGAGAUGAUUGAAACGGGAUGCUUUGAAGAUAUCAAUGCAUAUGAAACUGAUGGUACUGUGUCACCAGACAGAGAGAAGUCUCCUAAGCCAAAGAGAGGCUUCUUUCACAGACUUUUUAGUGGAGAGGUCUGCUUUAAGUCUGAUUGCAGUGAUGAUGAGCAGGAGUCCUCCAGACUUUAAAUCAUUUUAUGUUCAUCAGAAAGGAUGAGCAAGCAUUAAAUGUUUUAUAUCUCUGUAGCAAAUUGUAUUAUAUAUAUUUUUUAUCUGAGUUUAAGGAUUUUUGUACAUUUGUACUUCAUUUGUUUUAAGAUGUAUAUUUUCACUAAAGCUUAAUUGUACAAAAAGCAAUGAGUGCCAUUUGAGUGAGUGUGUUUCUGUAUGUAUUUGAUUUAUCUUGAUUAUUUUUUGCCCAGUGGAAUGAAUCUAGGAAUACUAAAAGGAUUUUAAAGCACAGAGAUAGUAUCUAUGGCAUCACUGUAACUUGACUCUGUAUGCUCCUGGUAAAACUCUUCUUGAUCAUUAGGAUCUUUAUUAGCAAUUUUCUUAACAGUAAAAUUGAUGUACUGAUAAAUUUAAUAAUUCUGGUAUUAUCCAGCAGCAUGGCAGUGCUAUUACCUAAUGUAUCUCUCAAGCAACUGCUAAGAGAAAAAAAGGAAUUCAGUGCACUGUGGCCAGCUAUUAGGAAUUGCUCUUUAUUAUAAGGCUCUGUAGAAUCUCUUUCUGUAUUUCUGUAUAAAGAGAACUUUGAACAUUUAGCUUAGUCCUCAAACUGAAGUAUCCCAUCUUCUCUUUCCUACCCAUCUUACACAUCCUCUCCAUAGAGUUUCUUGGCAUGAACCAUGCAAGUCAACCUAUGCCAAAAUUUUAUAACUAUAUUUUAAAAACUUUGUUGUCUUUACUGAAAUUAUUUCUUUUUACCUGUGGGGACACAGUUUUAUUUUAUUUUCUGUAAAUGAAAUUGUUUUUAACUCCAUGUAGAAUGUUAUGUUUUUAUAAUGGGUUAAAAAACAAAGCCUGGCUCUUCUUACUAACAUCCUCUCUGCUUAUGUUGUGAUAUGCAAUGUUCUAGGGUUGACAGUGAUCACUGCCACUGGGGGAAGGGCAAGGUAGCAUUGAGUAUUGAAUUUAAUUAUGUAAGUAUUUUUUAUAGCCUUUUAAAACAGAAACAUUAAAAUACGUUUUUAAUGAUUGCUUAAUACAGAUAUGGAACUGGUAUUGAAGUUUGUUAUGUUUACCUGAUGUCCAUUAGUAAAACUGACAAAAGCUGCUUGAAAGCUAGGCAAACUUCCAUUCUUCUGGACUCAUUGUAGGUCAGACCCUUUGUUAUGUAAACUUCUAGUAAAACUUCAUCUGGGUAUGAGAGUCAAUUUAAAGAGCACAUUUCAUUAAGAGCCUCUUCUGUUUUCAAAAUUGAGUUGGAUACUUGAAAUAUAAUGGAGUUGGAGAGAUGAGUUUAGUUUCAUAUUUUGUUCUGUAUUCUCAACUGUGCAUGCAUUCAUUGGGGCACCAACUGGGCCACACAUGUAUUGUACACGCAGAGCAACUGAAUAGCACCCCCACCUCAAAAAGGUCCCUCUUGUGAUCUGCAGACCCACUGGAAGAAACUUCAGCUGCUUCUGAGAAACUCACAAGAUAUAUUUGAUAUUCAAGCCCAUCAUCAGGUUUUAAUUCACGGUAUUUGGUCUCUAAAGACAAAGUUUUAAUGGAUUAGAAUUUGAAAAAAUUGGAAAACCAGUGUGUUGCAGAACCCUACUGGGGCUCAUCUGGUGUCUCUCUGAAAUUGUUCCUCUUGGCUACUGUGCCACAGGAAUGAGGAAUGAGCCUAUUUUCCAGUGUGUUCAGUGCAUUUUUCCUCCAGUCUAAAACAGCACACAAGACAGCAAAAUGACUCUUUUAGAGAGUACAAAGGGAGAAAUUGGCAGAGGGAGAGAGAGUUUGAAUGAAUUACUGGAAGAUGGUCUGAUGUAAUACUGAAGGGAUGGGAGACUUGACAGAAAUAUCUGAAGUAAGGGUGUUGGCUAGAACCAUUAUGUGUGAGACAAUGAGCUGGCAGUCUGACCUGACCCUCUUUAUUUUGUACCACAGCAAUAGAAGAACUCUAAAAAGAGGGGAAUGGAAAAAUGGAGAAGGAACAGAAGGCUUUUAUAAAUACCUACAUGGUUGGAGAAGUCAUUGUUUCCCUGAUGAAGGGGUUUGAAUUUUUAAGCUCUUAGGUUUGCUGUUCUGAGGCAAAGGUGACUGUAUAAACAGCAGACAUGCAGGGUGACAGUCUGGAUUUAAUGUCUGUGUAGGGCAACUUGAAAUUUGGGCAAGAAUACCACGGACACAAGCUGAAUAUUUUUUAUGAAGAAAAAUUUUUGUGAAGUAAAUUGGUUUUAACAGAUUAAAAAAAAUAUCUGAAAGUCUAUUUAUCAUGUAUUUCAAGUUUUCUUUCUGUAUGGGAUGGAGAGGAAUCUUAAAAAAAACUAAAAAUCACUUCUCUGUUUUGGAGUGUUGAGGGUUAACAUAUAUUUUCCAGGAAUCUGUGAAGAAAGAGGGUUAAAAGAAAAGGGAAAUUGUUCCUAAGAAGUGGUUAUUUACAUGUCUGCUUCUUUGGAAAAAGGAAUUCCUUGUAAAAAAAGUGAGAAUUUGUUUGUUUUUAUAAAGUUUUACUUAAGAAAAAACUUUUGGAAUUAAACUAAGUUCAGAAUACUACUAUUGAAUUGUUUUGAGUGAGUACAUGUUUGCAGGAUUAUGACCUAAUUCCAUUGGGUUUGGGGUUUGGUUUUUUUUGGUUAGUUGAUUGGUUCUUCCCCAAUAGGCUCAAGAUGGCAUUAUUGUGCUAUAAAUUUGUCCCUUUUGGCUAGAAAUACAAGCAUGUAAUAAUGACUGCAUCUUGUCUGAUGGAAUCCCCUGGAAAAUUAGCAAAAACAAGGAACUGGAAGGAUCAGCAAUCAGCAUAAGUCUCCUUACACAGUACAUGGAGGGGAAGAUGUUAUGCUGUUUAAUCUAAGGUGACUACAUUGGUUAAAGGCCUUUUCUGUAGUAUAAGGAGCUUGGAGGUGCAUCUUGAAACCAGGGAAAGGCUAAGGAGAGGGGAGAACACCUGAAAACAAAAUAUCACGGUGCAAGAUAUUUAAUAUGAACUUAGCUCUUGAUUUUUUUAGUACAAAACUGGGACAACGAAGGGGGAAAAUAGCAGGUUGUGUUGACAGAUUAUGUAGCCUUUUACUACAUGAAACUGUUGGGGUGGGAUGGGGGAAGCCAACAUAACUUCUUGUAAUUCAGCAUUCUCUAGGCCCAUAUGUUAGAAGGCUCUAACAAUCCAAUGUUCUACUGGUGCAAGACUUGGAAAGACCUAUGGAAUUCCAUGGAGUUAUUUGCAUGAGAUCAACCCUCCUUUCCUGUGGUGUGUGUUUCCAAGCAUUUGUGUAUGUAAAUCUUCAUGUUUGCUUGUGAGUACCUCAAACCUCUCUAUUUAGCUCAAAAUUCAGAAACUGUGAAACAAUGUACCAGUGUCUUAUUGGUUUACUUAAUGCUUUUCAAUGUUGUGACCAGAAGAAUAGAAUCUUCAUGCCUCAGGGUUGUUUUUUCUAGUAAGAAAAGUGUCAGCUUUUCCCUGCCCCCCGAGGUGUGUUCAAAAUAUAGAGAUGGUGUUGUUUCUGGACUAUAAAAACAACAGAACAGUCUCAGCUGAAAAAAGGAGCACUUAAAACUAAUAGUAACCAGGGAAAAAACCCUGUGGUAUGUCUGUAACAAGAGUGUUAUUGACAAACCUUAGCCUUUAAUAUCUCUUGUGUCUCUUUUUUUUUUCCCAAAUCAUUCUUAAAACAGUAGUCCUGAAUGGUUUUGAGUAUGAAAGAGAAUUCUCUCCAAAUCAAAAUAAAAUCAUCUGGUUUAUAAAUCAAAUAUAUAAGCAAAUAUAAUAUAAAUGCAAUUAAAAACAACUAACAAUCCAUUCUUAGAAUGCACUUCAAUUAUUUUUCAGACUACACUGAUGUAAGAAUUUCCUCAUUGCCAUUUGUAUGAAUGGAGAAUACUUGUUUACAAGUUACUAAAAUAUGACAACAAAAGUUAUAUUUUCCUAUGGUUUACACUUUAUCAUUAUAUGAAUUUAACAUUGGGAUUAUCAUCUUCAUUUUAGUGUAGGUUUUCAGAAAACACUUCUCUUUAGGAAGUGAAAUUUGAAUUAUUGGAAAGCAUCUUUAAGCUGAAGUCAUAUUUACUUUGAUUUUAAUUACUCAUUUGGCUUAUUCGGUGAUGAUGAUGUAUUUUCUGUUGAAUGAAACAUUCUUUUUUAUUUCAUAAUUGUUCUUGUGGUGUAACUUAAAUUUUGCACAUGAGAUGUAGGUAACUUUUUUCCAUGAUUCAGAUAUGUCCAAACCACCAGAAUUCUUUCCAGGCAUAGGAAGCUGACUGUUAAAUGUGAUGUGUUACUUCCAGCAUCUCCAACCACUGACUGUUCUUGUGUGAGCUGUUUUCCUGGACGUUCUAGCAUUGUAAUUCCUGAAAUAAAAGCAAAACACUGCCACAUGUCUCAACCACA